rnacentral:rRNA from 1 species
AUUCCAGCUCCAUUAGCGUAUAUUAAAGUUGUUGCAGUUAAAAAGCUCGUAGUUGGAUUUCUGGUAGAAGUAGCGACCUUGGGUCUUUGACCUAUGAAGUUGCUAUCUUCAACCAUCCUUGAAGAGAUUUAGUUUGGCAUUAAGUUGUCGAACUAAAGAUAUUCAUCUUUUACUGUGAAAAAAUCAGAACGUUCAAAGUAAGCAUUUAGCUUUGAAUGUAUUAGCAUGGAAUAAUGAGAUAGGACUUAGGUACUACUUUGUUGGUUUAUGCACCUAGGUAAUGAUUAAUAGGGAUAGUUGGGGGUAUUCGUAUUCCAAUGUUAGAGGUGAAAUUCUUGGAUUUUUGGAAGACGAACAACUGCGAAAGCAUUUACCAAGGAUGUUUUCAUUA